UACGUAGGAGGCGAGCGUUGUCCGGAAUCACUGGGCGUAAAGCGCGUGUAGGCGGUCGGAUUAGUCUGCUGUGAAAGCUCCGAGCUUAACUCGGAGAGGUCGGUGGAUACUGUCCGACUGGAGGACGGUAGAGGGGGGUGGAAUUCCCGGUGUAGUGGUGAAAUGCGUAGAGAUCGGGAGGAACACCGAUGGCGAAGGCAGCCUCCUGGGCUAGUACUGACGCUCAUGCACGAAAGCGUGGGGAGCAAACAGG
rnacentral:rRNA from 1 species